AGAAAAUUGAGUUCGAGAUAAGAGACACUGAGGAUAAACGAUUAUCAUGUACUCUGUGGGAAACCUACGCUGAAGCUUUAGAUCGUGCUAUCAAUGAGUCAAGUGAUGGUAUGGUUAUGUGUUUCCUACGCUUUGUUAAACAAAACAGCUUCAAAG